rnacentral:rRNA from 1 species
GACGAACGCUGGCGGCGUGCUUAACACAUGCAAGUCGAACGGAAAGGCCCUGCUUUUUUGGGGUGCUCGAGUGGCGAACGGGUGAGUAACACGUGAGUAACCUGCCCUUGAUUUUGGGAUAACUUCAGGAAACUGGGGCUAAUACCGGAUAGGAGCUCCUGCCGCAUGGUGGGGGUUGGAUAGUUUCGGCGGUUGGGGAUGGACUCGCGGCUUAUCAGCUUGUUGGUGGGGUAGUGGCUUACCAAGGCUUUGACGGGUAGCCGGCCUGAGAGGGUGACCGGCCACAUUGGAACUGGGAUACGGCCCAGACGCAUACGGGAGGCAGCAGUGGGAAAUAUUGCACAAUGGGCGGAAGCCUGAUGCAGCGACGCCGCGUGCGGGAUGACGGCCUUCGGGUUGUAAACCGCUUUCGCCUGUGACGAGGCGUGAGUGACGGUAAUGGAUAAAGAAGCACCGGCUAACUACGU